rnacentral:sRNA from 1 species
CACCACGCCUGGGUCCUCACUCCUACCGCUCUCUUGCAGGGAAGGACAUGGAGCCCAACGGCCCGUCGCUGCCCAGGGAUGAAGGGCCCCCGACCCCAAGCUCUGCCACGAAGGUGCCACCGGCAGAGUACAGGUUGUGCAACGGGUCAGACAAAGAAUGUGUGUCCCCCACCGCCAGGGUCACCAAGAAGGAGACUCUCAAGGCACAGAAGGAGAACUACCGGCAGGAGAAGAAGCGCGCUACACGGCAGCUGCUCAGCGCUCUGACAGACCCCAGCGUGGUCAUCAUGGCCGACAGCCUGAAGAUCCGCGGCACCCUGAAGAGCUGGACCAAGCUGUGGUGUGUGCUGAAGCCGGGGGUGCUGCUCAUCUACAAGACGCCCAAGGUGGGCCAGUGGGUGGGCACGGUGCUGCUACACUGCUGUGAGCUCAUCGAGCGGCCCUCCAAGAAGGACGGCUUCUGCUUCAAGCUCUUCCACCCGCUGGAUCAGUCCGUCUGGGCCGUGAAGGGCCCCAAAGGUGAGAGCGUGGGCUCCAUCACACAGCCCCUGCCCAGCAGCUACCUGAUCUUCAGGGCCGCCUCCGAGUCAGAUG